rnacentral:lncRNA from 1 species
GGCACAGACUGACCCGGGUGAAUUCACCCAGCCGGCCGUGGGUUCCAUCGCGGCGUGGCACAGGAGAGCACAGCAAAACGCCGUGGCUUUGCUGUCACAUAAACCUGCACAUAGGAUCAUUUACUCCGCUCCAAAUCGAGAUUACAGCAGCCAGGCUGCUUGGCAGAGAUCCCAUCUCUAUGCCCUAAUCUUACCUAUUCAAACCUAUUUUUGCCAAGCAAGGGUUAUUUCACUAAGUUUUGCACCAUGUCAAGCAUAAUUCUGUAAGGUGAACAUGGUGUUGCCUUGUACAGUACAAAUCAGGGCAUGAAUUAGAAGAAUAUUAAUAUUAUUAUUAUUAGAAUUCUAUUUACGCUAUUCUUCUAAUCUAAUAUCUUGUUUACAGUGGGAUUUUGAACAGUUCCAGCCCUGAACAAAAGCGAUUAGUAGAGGCACACCAAGGCAAACCACGGGUUUAGACAAAUAAACCAUACUCAGUGUCAACAUCUUUCAUGGUAACCACCUCCAGCACUGGGAAGUGUGAGCGUCACAGCUUGGCUGCAUGUCAGGCUCAGUCUGACUGUUGAUGGCUCUCUGUCCCCUUCACCAACUGUUCCCUGGUGCCAGCAGUGAGCAAAGGAUGAGAUUUUGUUCUCCAACAAGGACUUGGUUGCUGGUAGGACAGGUGAGGCUGGCCAGAAGAUUUCUGCAAACAGCUGCUCAGCUUUUUGAAAAAGAAGGGCAGAGCUUGAUGCUGGAAAGGAGAGCUCCUGAACAGCAGAGCCAAGCUAAUUCCCUAAGAAAUACUCCCAUUCAUCUCAGUGAGGUAUCACUUAAUAUGUUGGUAUAA